AACGGUCUAUACCUGCGGUACCUGCGGAAGGAUCAUUACCGAGUUAUACAACUCCCAAACCCACUGUGAACCUUACCUCAGUUGCCUCGGCGGGACCGCCCCGGCCGCCGCGCAAGCGGCGCCGGACUCCAAGGCGCCCGCCGCAGGGACCCAAAACUCUUUUGCAUUACGCCCAACGGCGGGAAUUUUUUCUCUGAGUGCAUAAGCAAAACAAAUGAAUCAAAACUUUCAACAAUGGAU
rnacentral:misc_RNA from 1 species